AGGACGAACGCUGGCGGCGUGCUUAACACAUGCAAGUCGAGCGGAAAGGCCCUUCGGGGUACUCGAGCGGCGAACGGGUGAGUAACACGUGAGCAAUCUGCCCUUAGCUUCGGGAUAGCCCCGGGAAACCGGGAUUAAUACCGAAUAUGACCUCGGCCGACAUCGGCUUUGGUGGAAAGUUUUUCGGCUAGGGAUGAACUCGCGGCCUAUCAGCUUGUUGGUGGGGUAAUGGCCUACCAAGGCGACGACGGGUAGCCGGCCUGAGAGGGCGACCGGCCACACUGGGACUGAGACACGGCCCAGACUCCUACGGGAGGCAGCAGUGGGGAAUAUUGCGCAAUGGGCGAAAGCCUGACGCAGCGACGCCGCGUGGGGGAUGAAGGCCUUCGGGUUGUAACCCCUUUCAGCAGGGACGAAGCGAGAGUGACGGUACCUGCAGAAGAAGCGCCGGCUAACUACGCGCCGAGCGAGCCGC
rnacentral:rRNA from 1 species